UUUGGAAUAAUGCUAAAAGUAAGCCUUGAAAACACCCAAGGAAAGUUUCAGUGCAUUUACAGGGAAGGUAUUUUGUAACCGUAUAGAAGUGCAUCCCACGGUACUGUUUAAAAGCUGGAAGUGGAGUUUGUAUAAAUUCACAAUGUGCUAUACACAGACCUAAAGGGGGUCUGAGAUGGGGUCUUUAUAACUCCCAUUCCACAGCCUGUCAUGGGCGGGUAACUGAGAUAUGACAGAUGCCCACAGAUAACCACUUCAGCACUGCAGUGCUCUCAGACAGCCAGAAGGGGGCAGAAGACCGAGAUUCCUAACAGCUACUCUGAAUCAUAAAGCUAUGCAGCCAGUCACUCCUGCUGUCCUGCUUGACAUUUGUGACGUCUUUGAUGUGACUGAUAUAUCUAUAGUAAGAGUUGGAUCAAAAGGAUAUUUGGCAGUGUGACAUUUCUACAUUUUUAUAUAAAGCAGAUUUUUAAAAUACAAGUAAGAUGACAUUUUCUCCCUUGGAAAUGAUUAUCUUACAAAAAAAAAAACCUUGUAUAAUUAAGCUUAAGGCGUUAUCAGUCUAUCAGAUGGUUGUGGGAAAUUAUUGAAAAUUCUUUUAAGUGUCAACUUCAGAAUUUUUCUAAAUAGGAUAUAAAAGUUUUCAUCAAAAGUAAUAUUUUGUAUUUUCAAGAGGGCAGGGACUUAUUGAAGAACUUAUUGAAGAAAGGGAACUGUUUUCAGUCUGUUGAGUACCAUGAUCCUAUGGGUCUAACCCUCAGUUAGCUGAAAUAUCCAUGGAACGUGUGAUUCUGCUUAACUGAAGAUGAGUAAAGACUGGAUGUAGUAACCAUUCCUUAACCAGUAUUGCAUGCCAGAGGUAAGUUAGUGCUUUUGACAUUUGGGGCAUUCACAUGCCUUGUGUUUUACUCAACAACUGUAACUGAAUGUAGUCAUGGAAGGUACAAGAUACGGAACACUCACUGACAUUGGGACAUCACCUGGAAUUUUUAAAAUAAAUUUAUCCUUUUUGUUUACCUAAUUUUGUUGUUGUAAAAAUAUAAAAAAUAUAAAAAGGUAUUGGUUGUCUUUUAUCCCGCUAGGUCCGCACCACAGUGCCCCAAGAUAUCUGCUAGAAUCUUGGGUGGAAACACAUCCCAACUCCUCGGCGGCCCAGAGUCUCCUGCCGCCGCAUACUUUCCUACACUCAAACCGUCACAUUAAAAAACUCAACACAAUAAUCUUUGACCCAAUUGGUAAGAUAAAUUACCCACUUAAACAUACAAAGCCCGGUACCAUCCAUCCCUUGAAAACAUUAAUAACAACCUGUAAACACACAGAGCGGAAUCUUAACGUUAGACCCCAUUGUCCUGCAACGGCUUCUCUCCUCCCUCCUGUCUCUUCUUUCCUUUCCAGUCUCCUCCUCUUCCUUCAAACUUCUCUCCUGCCCAUCCUUCCUUCUCCUCCAAUGAUAGGCCUCCUUCUAUCCUGUACCUGCCCCUCACCUGUAUUUUACAAAUUCAAUGGGGAGAAGGUUCUGAUGAAGUCACCUGGUUCCUAAAUACGUGACUAGACAGCUGUCCUUGGGGCAGUGGAAUUAGCAUCAAAAUACAGAUAACUCCAGAGCAAACCACAACAUAAUUUUUUUGUCACUUUGCUUUUUCUCUAAAACUUGAAUGAGAUACUACUUUGGAAUAAAAGUUCCAGUUAAGGGUUAGCUUUUAUGCACUUCUAAUUUUACUAAUAUUGACAGAGUUGGACAGGGAGCAACUUAGAGGCACAGCAGUUGUCCUGUGUGGUGGUUCGAAUGAAAAUGACCCCCAUGGCCCUUAGAAGUUGUGGCCUUUGCAUACACACCACCAUGCUUCCCACCAUGACGAUAAUGGACUAGACCUCUGAACUGUAAGCCAUACACACCACCAUGCUUCCCACCAUGAUGAUAAUGGACUAGACCUUUGAACUGUAAGCCAGCCCCAAUUAAAUGUUUCCUUUAUAAGAGUUGCCUUGGUUAUAGUGUCUCUUCUCAGCAAAAGACCAUUGACUAUUAUAUACUAUUAAGACAUAGUUAUAUAGUAUAUUACUUUCACUAGCCUAUACCUACUGUAGAAUAGCAAUACAUUUAGAAAGUAUUCAUUUAAACAUUGCUGUUUCAGUAUCUACCCAACAAUCUGAGAUGGAAUAGUUGCACUUUCAAACACUGUAGUUUAGGGCAACAUGAAGUUUUCGGAAGACGUACACUUUCAAAGGAACAAAUGCUUAUAGUACUAGGCAUCACUGCCCCCACCCCUUAUGCCAGUCCCUUCCUCAGCCUUCUGUCUGUUCUUGUCCUCACAUUCAAAAACUAAGAGGGAACCACAGCAUUUAUUUAUUCUUCCUACCUGCCAAACAAAACAAUCCUUAACUCCUUGGCAAAUCUAAGAUCAAGUUUUAAGAUUUUUUAAAAACUAAUAUUACAUUGGGUUUCUGCCAUUUGGAUCACAGACCCUAUUCUUUCCAAUGGGACAGGUGGCUGUGUGACAGAUUGACCUGAGAAAGGCCCCUGUUCUUUCUAGCUAGUGUUGAAGUUUUUAUACUCUGGAGGUACCUGUGGAGAAGGCUGAAGGGCUCCUUAGGGGACAUUUCUUCCCUCUCCUUUACCCAUCCAGCCACAUGCUGGAUGUAGUAUGUAACACCUGAUCAUUCUGCCUGAGCCUAAAGCUGGUCUCAGCAUCCCUAGUGUUUCAAUUUAGUAGGCUUUACCCACUUUCUUACAACCACACCACAUAGUUUGUCAUAUAGAAGUGGUGUCUCUAGGAGAGUGAGCUGAGAUCUCAUUCUGAUCCCAACCUUUAGUGGCUGUUUGCAGCACUCACAUUCCAGUCCCACCUGUUCCUGAAUUUGAACACUGCAACCCUUUGACAUUCGUCAUACUCUCUCCCUCCUCUCCUCCCCUCUCCCCUUCACCCUCACCCACACCCCCUCACUGGUACAGGUCUGAGUUUCGGUUGUGUAUUCAGGUUGCUCUUUAAUUAUUCCACUUGGAUGUCUCCAAUCAUUUUAAACUUAAUGUACCCUAAAAAAUCUCCUCUCGGACACCCAAACCUGUUUGCUAGCCCUAGACUUGGGCAUCAUCAGAUGAUCUUCCCCCCGAUCUGAGGUCAUUCAGGUCCCAACGAUCCUCAAAAUGGUUACAAGCCAUCUCCCAUUUAGGUGACAGAUCUUCCUACCUCUGGGCAUAUACUGUACAGAUUCUAACCUAAUUGGACAAGGCCAGUCCCUAACUUUAGCACUUGCAUUGAUUUGCCUCUGCUCCAGUUUCACGAGCGAUUGUAUCCCACUCCACAAUGGAUCUCUUACUCUCACACUGCCCAGUGCGAAUUGCUUUGGUACCGCGUUGGGUAGGCGAGCACCGAGGCUCGCAGCUCUUGCCAAUCCUGAGGAUAGGUGGCUUUCCCUCUGGUGACAAAGAUGGCUCACCAAUGGAUCACACCCCGAGGCUGGCAGGUUGCAAAGGAAUGAAAACAGCGCCAUCUCGAGGCGAGGUGGCGCUCUUAGGUGCGGACUGACGCGCAUACCACUUCCGCCCUUGACGAGCGCAGGCGCAUAGGACUCUUCCGCCAUGCUGCCGCCUUCCGUGGCGCCUGCGAAGUUGUGAUGCUGAAGCUCCUUGUAGGUCGCUGUGCUUGGCCUCUACUAGACUCCUGUGUGGUUCCACAAUGCCUAAGAAAGCCGGUGCAACAAGCAAGGCCAGUUGCAAGUCCCGUGAUGUGGAGAGGGUGGGCCACGGGGCUACACUGGCGGGGAACAGAAGGAGCGCCUGGCGGGCGGAAGACCUCCCUUCGGGUCCAGGGUAAAAACCAAACCAAGGAACCAGAGACACCACCUCCCCCUACAGGGCCUGUAGCAACUGAUUCUAAAGGCUUUGUCACCAUAGCCAUCCAUGCCAAACCCGGCUCCAAACAGAAUGCUGUGACAGAUCUGAACACCGAGGCGGUCGGCGUGGCCAUCGCGGCACCUCCGUCUGAGGGAGAGGCCAAUGCGGAGCUCUGUCGGUACCUUUCCAAGGUCUUGGACCUCAGGAAGAGUGACGUGGUUCUGGACAAGGGCGGUAAAUCUCGGGAAAAGGUGGUGAAGCUCUUGGCCUCUACAACUCCAGAGGAGGUCUUGGAGAAGCUGAGAACAGAAGCUGAAAAAAAAUAAAGGCGAGAAAUGGCGUGUACUUCCUUGUGGGCUCUCAUGAGAGUAGCGGGGCCACGCAGGAAAAUGUACAUCGGUGCCUGGCCAUGGAGAGAGGAAUACAUAGAUGAAGUCAGACUAAAUGAAAGGAGAAAAUAUAAAUCUACAGACUCUCAAAUCCCUCACUGUGGGAGCUGGGGAGACAGCUCAGUGGCGAAGAGCGUUUGCCGCUCUUCCAGGGAUUCGGCUCAGCUCCCAGCACUGACACUGGAGGGCUCACACAAACUCCGGUUCCAGGAUGUCGCCAUUCUUUUCCUGGCCCCUGAGGCCACUGCAGACCUGUAGUUCAUACAUGUGCAUUCCAGGCACACACACUAAGUAAACCUUUAAAUCCCUGAGUGCAGACAGCCUGGAAUAUAUCACUCUAACUUCAUGGGAUUACAACGGACCAGCUACUGUCCACGAUGGAGCUCCUGAUCUGCAGGCAUUGGGAGAUGAGCUGAAGAUCACCGCACAGAGGAUGACGGGAAACCAACUCCCCGGACUCCAAGUGAAGUGCUUCUAGCCUCGUAGCUCCCCACAGUGUUUCUGGAGUCCUGGGGUCUUCUGAUCCUGUUUACAACUGGGAAAACCUUUUGUACUGCUUCUAUUUUAAGGUUUUUUUAAAUGCAAAAGUCCCUACUUUUUAUCUUCUAAUGAUCAUAUAGAACAUUUUGUGGAAAAGUAAAUAAUCAUGGAGACGUGUAACUUAUUGUCAGUUACUUUCAGAACCUUGUAAACUUUCAAAUCUAGAAGUUCUUAGGAGUCUCCAAAGAUCUUAAAAGAGUCAAGAGGUGUCUAGAGCAAUGACCAGCAGUUAAGAGUGCUUACGCUCUUGGAGAGGACAUGAGUUCAAUUCCCAGCAACCCAACAUGGAAUGACUCACAACUGCCUGUAACUCCAGUUUCAAGAGAUCCAAUGCCUCUGGUCCGAGGGCACCCACACCCAUGUAUGCAUACACAGACACAUACCUGCAGAGAUAGAGACAGACACAUACAUAAUUGAAAAUAACUUAACAAAUAAAAAAAAAAUGAUAAAGAUGUCCUGGAAGUUCUUCUCAUUGUUUGUUAAGCCCAUCAGAAAUCAGUUGGGAAUGUUUCCUGAUGUGCAUGAAGCCUUGGGUUCAGUCCCCAGCCCUGCGUAAAUUGGGUGUGGUGUGGUAUACUCUGAGUCCCAGCACUCUGGAGCUGAGGGCAGGAGGAUGAGAAGUUCAAGGUUCCUUUACAUAAUAGAGUCCCAGGUCAGCUCGGGACACGUGCACCUAUAUAUCUAGAUCUGUAUAGAUAACGUGUAUAUGUUGCUCAGUAACACAAGUAUGUGUAUAUAUAGCUGGGAAGAUAAUAAACAUAUAUGUUUGACCUAAA